rnacentral:rRNA from 1 species
UGGGGAAUUUUGCACAAUGGGGGAAACCCUGAUGCAGCGACGCCGCGUGAUUUAGAAGGCCUUCGGGUUGUAAAAAUCUUUUCUAUGGGAAGAAAAUGACAGUACCAUAGGAAUAAGGACCGGCUAAUUACGUGCCAGCAGCCGCGGUAAUACGUAAGGUCCGAGCGUUGUCCGGAAUCAUUGGGCGUAAAGGGUACGUAGGCGGGUAAGCAAGUUAGAAGUGAAAUCCUGUAGCUCAACUACAGUAAGCUUUUAAAACUGCUCAUCUUGAGAUAGGGAAGGGAAAGUGGAAUUCCUAGUGUAGCGGUGAAAUGCGCAGAUAUUAGGAGGAAUACCGGUGGCGAAGGCGACUUUCUGGCCAAAAUCUGACGCUGAGGUACGAAAGCGUGGGUAGCAAACAGG